GUCGAGCGGAUGAGAAGAGCUUGCUCUUCGAUUCAGCGGCGGACGGGUGAGUAAUGCCUAGGAAUCUGCCUGGUAGUGGGGGACAACGUUUCGAAAGGAACGCUAAUACCGCAUACGUCCUACGGGAGAAAGCAGGGGACCUUCGGGCCUUGCGCUAUCAGAUGAGCCUAGGUCGGAUUAGCUAGUUGGUGAGGUAAUGGCUCACCAAGGCUACGAUCCGUAACUGGUCUGAGAGGAUGAUCAGUCACACUGGAACUGAGACACGGUCCAGACUCCUACGGGAGGCAGCAGUGGGGAAUAUUGGACAAUGGGCGAAAGCCUGAUCCAGCCAUGCCGCGUGUGUGAAGAAGGUCUUCGGAUUGUAAAGCACUUUAAGUUGGGAGGAAGGGCAGUAAGUUAAUACCUUGCUGUUUUGACGUUACCGACAGAAUAAGCACCGGCUAACUCUGUGCCAGCAGCCGCGGUAAUACAGAGGGUGCAAGCGUUAAUCGGAAUUACUGGGCGUAAAGCGCGCGUAGGUGGUUUGUUAAGUUGGAUGUGAAAGCCCCGGGCUCAACCUGGGAACUGCAUCCAAAACUGGCAAGCUAGAGUAUGGUAGAGGGUGGUGGAAUUUCCUGUGUAGCGGUGAAAUGCGUAGAUAUAGGAAGGAACACCAGUGGCGAAGGCGACCACCUGGACUGAUACUGACACUGAGGUGCG
rnacentral:rRNA from 1 species